rnacentral:rRNA from 1 species
UACCCGCAGCACAAGUGGUGGUCAUUAUUAUUGGGCCUAAAGCGUCCGUAGCUGGCCUGUUAGAUGCCUGGGUAAAUCGAUGCGCUUAACGCAUCGAACUCCGGGUAGACCGGCAGGCUCGAGACCGGGAGAGGUGUAGGGUACUCGGGGGGUAGGGGUAAAAUCCUGUAAUCCUCCGGGGACGACCAGUGGCGAAGGCGCUACACUAGAACGGCUCUGACAGUGAGGGACGAAGCCCUGGGGCGCAAACCGG